rnacentral:rRNA from 1 species
CAGGCCUAACACAUGCAAGUCGAGCGGAUGAUGGGAGCUUGCUCCCGAAUUCAGCGGCGGACGGGUGAGUAAUGCCUAGGAAUCUGCCUGGUAGUGGGGGACAACGUUUCGAAAGGAACGCUAAUACCGCAUACGUCCUACGGGAGAAAGCAGGGGACCUUCGGGCCUUGCGCUAUCAGAUGAGCCUAGGUCGGAUUAGCUAGUUGGUGGGGUAAAGGCCUACCAAGGCGACGAUCCGUAACUGGUCUGAGAGGAUGAUCAGUCACACUGGAACUGAGACACGGUCCAGACUCCUACGGGAGGCAGCAGUGGGGAAUAUUGGACAAUGGGCGAAAGCCUGAUCCAGCCAUGCCGCGUGUGUGAAGAAGGUCUUCGGAUUGUAAAGCACUUUAAGUUGGGAGGAAGGGCACUAAGUUAAUACCUUGCUGUUUUGACGUUACCAACAGAAUAAGCACCGGCUAACUUCUUGCCAGCAGCCGCGGUAAU